AGAUCGUGUGCAGAAACUUCCCUCUGGAACGCACCGUUGACUUCCUGAUGGCCAUCAAGGAGACCUUGCGGAAAGGCAAAGGAAUGCGUGUGCGUGCAGCUGGGAAGUGGAUGACCACCUUUCUGCAGAUGUACGGGAAGGACAUCUGUCGGGACGUGCUACCAAUCCUCCACAUCCUACGCAGCUGCACAUCAUCCACGCAGCAGAGCACGUUCAUGCCCUUCCUGUGCCAGGCGGUGGUCAUCCUCAUCCGCUGUCACCAAGAGGUCGUAAUUGACAACUUCUCCCGGCUGCUUGGGCCCACAGACAGUGAGAUGUGGAAAAGAAUAAGAGAGUUUUGUCUUCAACGGUGGAGCCGAUAGAAGAAAAAAAGAGGAGAGAAGAGAAGAGAAGAAAGGAAAAGAAGAAACAGAAGGAGAGGCAAGGCGAGGAGAGGAGAGGAGGAGGAAUAAGAGAAGGAAAAGGGGAAGGAGAGGGAAGGAGAAAAGGAAAAGAAAGAGAGAAGAGAAGAGAAGCGAAGAGAAGAGAAGAAAGGAAAAGAAGAAACAGAAGGAGAGGCAAGGCGAGGAGAGGAGAGGAGGAGGAAUAAGAGAAGGAAAAGGGGAAGGAGAGGGAAGGAGAAAAGGAAAAGAAAGAGAGAAGAGAAGAGAAGCGAAGAGAAGAGAAGAAAGGAAAAGAAGAAACAGAAGGAGAGGCAAGGCGAGGAGAGGAGAGGAGGAGGAAUAAGAGAAGGAAAAGGGGAAGGAGAGGGAAGGAGAAAAGGAAAAGAAAGAGAGAAGAGAAGAGAAGCGAAGAGAAGAGAAGAAAGGAAAAGAAGAAACAGAAGGAGAGGCAAGGCGAGGAGAGGAGAGGAGGAGGAAUAGGAGAAGGAAAAGGGGAAGGAGAGGGAAGGAGAAAAGGAAAAGAAGGAGAGGAGAGAAGAGAAGAGAAGAGAAGAGAAGAGAAGAGAAGAGAAGAGAAGAGAAGGGAAGAGCUAAAAUUAUGUAUUAUUUAUUUAAAAAAAUUAAAUGUCAGAAUCCUGGCUAAGAAGUGAAAAGAGUAUUCAUUUUAUUAGCUU
rnacentral:lncRNA from 1 species